CGCGGCCAGAGCAGACGCGGAGGCCGAGGAGGUGCCGAGAGAGAGCGAGCGAGGGCUGCUAGCAAGUUGUCACCUCUCAACAACACUUUGGGAGGCCGAGAAUCUCUCUCUGCUGCCCAGGCUGGAGUGCAGUGGGAUGAUCUCGGCUCAUUGAAACCUCCACCUCCAGGUUCAAGCGAUACUCCUGCCUCAGGCUCCCGAGUAGCUGGGACUACAAGUGUGCACCACGAUGCCCAGUUUGUCAAGGAUGUCUGUUCUGUAAGUCAAGGGAAUUUUCUGAAUGAAUAUUCAACUGAAAAUAUUUAAAUAGAAAAGAAGAUGAGUAUGCUGUGUGUGUAUGUACGAGGAGAUGCAGAACUAAUGAAGGCAGAUCUUUGGUGCCAGUCUACACUUCUUCCAUAGGGUUUAUAAAGCAGGAUUAGAAAACCGGGUGCCCUUUCCUGCAUUGCCUGUUAUGCUGUCAAACCUCCCAUUUGGGCAGGCCUGAGGAGAGACAGCUCACUCAGUAUCAGCUUGGGCAGCUUGAAGACCAGACUGAGGUCAUCUGAAGGCUCUCUAUUAAAUUUUUUUAAUAGAGAUAAAAAUGUGAGUAUCCCAGAAGGAAGCUUUUAUGACAGCAUAGAAAGUCACAUAGCAUCAAUUCUGUUUUAGUCACAGACCCUCAUAGA
rnacentral:lncRNA from 1 species